AUACUAAAAAAUCGUAUCUUCAAAAAAUACAACCAAAAAAACUAUCGUCAGCGCAGUCGCAGUCGCAGUCAUACAUUUCAACUCUCACAUCAGAUAUCAGAUCGGAUCAGCCAGAAGGAGCUGAGGAGCAAGCAGGACGGAGCAGAACGCGGAACAGAACUAACGAUAGUCGAUAACACCAAUAAACGAUAACUAUAACAACCAUCGAACCACACCACAAGGAAGCGAAGCGGACUCAACUGUACCAAUGGUGCGAGCGGAGGCAGAAGCAGAACGAACAUUCAAAGAAGAGUAGCAAGAGGAACAGAAGAAUGAAUGAAAACAACCAGCAAAGCAAGAACAACAACAACAGAGAGCAGUGUCGCCAGAUCAUCAGAGAUUCGGUGAUUAGUCAGUCAGUCAGUUAGUCAAUAAAGAAUGGAUGCAAUUGCAGAAAAGCAGCCAAGGAGAAAAGUGGAUCGGGGAGUGACCGCCAAUGGGCGGUUGACCCCCGAGGCCGGACAAUGCAACCGGAUGCACGUAGCGCCUGCGUCCGGGCGCGUGUCACAUGGAUACAAGUCACAAGAGCGCGCGAACAGCGAACAAGUUGGCGCGCGAUUAAAUAGAAAAGUUGCCUCAACGGACAAGUACAAGGUGUGUGCGGCCAAGGACAUGGACAGACGAGGAAAUUGGGGAAAAUGGGGUGUUAGCACAGUGCUCUCGCUCUGUCUCUCUCACUCAGAGCAUCUCAAAACUCACCCACACAGACACAUACACAAGCACACACAGACCAUCACGGCAUCAAUCAUACGCCCCGUAGAACGAGUCACACACACGCAGACACAGAUACACUCACGGACACACACACACCAGCACAUCGCACUUUGCUUGUCAUGCAGCAGUAACUAAACCAAACAUCAAAAAAGUCGAGACGACGCCCGCGGAAAAUUGCAUUUCUGUAUUAACCCCAAUAGCAAGUAAGAGGAGAAUAAGAGUAACAUCAGCAUCGAAAACACCAAUCAACAACCAACAACAAAGUCACGAACGAUGCGCGAAAUACUGUUACAACAACAACAACAACAGCAUCACAAAAACGAGGAUGCAAGGCAGAGAGAGUGAAUCUCUACCGGAGGAAGGAAUCUCAGCAGCAUACCGCAACAUACAGCGGAAUGAAUGGCAGCGAGAGAGGCAGCAGCGGCAGCAGCGGCAGCAGCAGCAGCAGGCGGCGAGUACUCGUAGGAAGCGGAAUAAAAGAGGAAGCGGAAGCACAGGCGGAAGCUGAAGCGAAAGCGGAAGCAGACGCGGCAGAAGUAAAAGUUUAAUUAAAUUAAAUUCAAUUCAAUUAAAUUACUUAUUACAAUGAUAUCUUGAAGUGUUCAUGUAUUCGAAUGUAGGUUAACUAAGUCAAGCAUACAAAUAAUUCUAUACAUAUGUAUAUGAAUCCAUAUAUAUAUAUAUUAUAUAUAUAUAGAUAACAACUUUUUUUUUUCUAACUCUAAGCAUUUGUAUUACUCGCUAAACAAAUGAACAACAAAAACAAAACCGCAAACAAAUGAAAACAAACAAAAAAACCUAAAAAAAAAUACCGAAAAAAUGAAAACCGAAAACGUAAUUUUUUGUAUACAAAUGGGGUGAAAACGAGAAAAAAAAACAACUAAAAACAAUGAGCAGAUAAAAGAUAAACCAAACGAACAAAAAAUAUCAGUAAAUAUCAAGAAAGAGUUCAGAGCAAUGGAAAAGGGAGAAGAAGGAAGCGAAAAAACUAGAAGGAGAAAAUACCAUGAAAUAAGCAUUAAUACCGAAACCGAACAAAGAACGAUAAAAAAAAAACAAAAACAACCAAAAAUACACUUACAUAAUUUAAUUAGAUCGAAACUUUAGCGCGCAUCACAUAUACAUACACACAACCGAUACAUAAAUACAUACAAACAAACAUAUAACCGAAACAACAGACAGACAGUAACUCAGAUACAGAUACAGACACCCAGACACCAGACGGAGACACUCAUGGAGUAAUAUUUUCAACUUAUAAAAGAAGACAAAGAUAAGAUGUUCAUGCAUACAACCACACACACACACACACACACACACAACACACACACACAGACACACAAACAAGUAAAUAUACAUAUAUAAAGUAUAUAUACAUACAUAGUAUAUAAAUUAUAUAUUAUUAUCAAUCAUUCAGCAACAAAAAGAGAGCAGCAAAACAUUCACAGCAUAAAUCAAUUAACUCAACUUAUAAUAGAGCAUACUCAGAUAUUCUCUCUCUCUCUCUCUCUCUCUAUGAAAAUAUGCCUUAUACUCAACCACACACAACCAUAAGAAAAUACCAAAAACAAUUUAAAAAAACAAAAACAUUACGAAGAAAAGGGGAAACAUACCAAAAGAUAAUGCUUUGCCACAUAAAUCAAUUGUAAUCAUAAAUGAUAAUACAUAUAAUUAAUAUUAAAAGUAAUAUUGAUAAUAAUUCAGACUUGAUUUCGACAAUUGCUCCCUCGCACACAGUCAAAGGGCAUUGCAGCAGCUCCAGCUACCCCCGCCCUGGAUUUACCGCCACGCCCCAGAACACACUCACUUUUGUAGCCUUAGAUCCACCAACCCAUCAGCCACAUACAUACAAUCGUACUCGUAAUCCACUCCACAUAGAACUCGUCUCGACUCGACUCGAUUCGAUUUCAUAAUGUGCUGCAAAUUGUAAUAUCCGUCCAAGAAACCUUUUUGAAGCGCACCCCCUUUGAGUUCAGGCAAUCUUCUCUAUUUAUCAUCUCCAUGCGACUUUUCAUUCCCUACUUCCUUCCUGUUAGCCCUGCGUUUCUCAAUUAAUACAAAUACCAAAGUGAAAAGGACCAAAACAAAGUUACAGAUGCCUCAAACGUUUUUUCAAUUUGCUCCACAGGUCUCCCUCAUCCUACCUAUCUACCAUUACCAUUCUACAAUUUUUCUUUUAAUAUAUCUCUCUGAAAAGGACGACCAAUGACGAACCACAGACACAGCCAGACGAAGCCAAGCCAAUAAAUGCAAAAUGUCACUGCCAAACAAUAAUAACACAAAAAUCAAAGUAAAAUAGUUAACCCACAGAUAGAUAAUGGCUAAGCUCAGGGUGGCUAAGAAAAUUGGGGAAGGGCAGGGAUGGACAGGGACAGGGAAUGUGGUAAAAAGCAGCUGCAAUGCCCCAUAAAAACAGGAAUUGGCGCCGAAAAAAUAAUGUUCCUUGUCUCGAAUUCGAACUCUGAAUUAGGAAUUGCCGAUGAAUGUGCUCGCUCACAAGGAAUUAAUCCGCUCACUCUUUAUUUAUUCUGGCAACUAAUUCAUCUACCAUACUUAUUUUCUUUGUUUGUUUCAUCUAAUCACAUCAUACAGCAUACUCAAAGACGCAUUAGAUUUUAGCCAAUGGAAAUGUAGGGGAAAGGCAGUAAGCGGAAAGCGUGGUGGGAAAACGAAUCGAGUCCCUAUGAAUCUCAAAGUGGAGAUGGAGAUGGAGGAGGAGGAGGAGGAGGAGGAGAAGCGGGAGAGCAUGUAGUCGAUGCAAAAAAACAAUAAUUAUAACAAUAAAUGGUAAUAAGUAAUUUUAGCGUAUUUUUUUUAACUGCUUAUAGCCAACGUAAGUGUAGUUCAAAACUGAACAUAUGUAUGUAUGUAAAUCAGCUGAAGAAGAAGAAGGGAGAGUACUUUCUUUUGUCAUAGUUUUUUUUUGGUCGUCCUCGAGGAUAAGUAUUAGAUUGUAAGCACACUCAGACACACACUGAACAGAACAGAACAGAACAGACACACACACAACAAUAAACUCACACACUGAAAUGAUAAACGAAAAGCAAAAGCAAAAAGCAAAAGCAAAGAAUGUACUUGUAUAAAUAUCGUGGGGAGAUCGUAAGCUAAAGGGUUACUUACUCGCAAAACAUUUAUGUAAUUAUAGUGGAGGAAGUGAAGGAAUACCAUACCAAAACGUAAGCAUAUUACAAGGAAAUUGCCAUUAGUCGAUAGUGUUAAAAGCGAUACGUAUGAUCUACUCACACUUAUACGAGUAUAU